GGUGGAGUGUAGCGGUUGGCUAUAGGCUGGAUUGGGUUGGGAUUGCAUUCACAUUCUGAUUUUUGAUUCUGUUACCUGAUACUAAUUCUGAUUUUGAUUCUGUUACCUGAUACUGAUUUUGAUUAUGAUUCUGAUUCUAGUUCUGAUAAUGUUUCUUAUUCUGUAAUGGGUUAAAGCCCAUCUGAUACUGUCUGUUAUAAUGGGCUAAGGCCCAAUUGGUAUUGAAACUAUAAAGUAAGGCUGGC
rnacentral:lncRNA from 1 species